UGAAUUUUCUGUCCUUAGAAAAUUUAUUUGCUUAAAUACGGACUAAUCGUCCUGUUUCCGUGGUUCGUGGUCGAUUUCGAUCUGAAUUAGCCCCUCUCUCUCUCUCUCUAAUCUAUUAUCUAUUACUAUUUACUAAAAGAGACACCAUGAAUGACACGUGUCAAUUUCUGGUGGAAAACUUUCCCGCUAAUUUUUUUCCCCUUUUUAUUCAUUUAUUUAUUUCUAUGUUUUCUUAUGCAAAAGAUUAAGUAUAUUUGAUUAAAUUUUUAUAAUUCCCUAUUCAUUUUAUCUUCAAUAUAUAAAUUUUCAUCUACUCCGUAUAAUUUUAUUUCUCUAAAAAUAAUAUUUGUAAAAUACAAACUUUAUUAUCUUCUGAAAAUCUGUCAGGAUCUUUUAUACUUCGUAUUACUUUCUUUUUGAACUUUUUUUAAACUCAAAUAUUUUAUAAAAGUAGUCAAAUAAUAAAUUUAAAAUAUCCGUGCGUGCACGAGAUCUAAUCUAAUUUCCUUGCUAAUCGCGACUUGGUCGAUAUUGGUUUAGGACUUUGGGUUUAGACCAUUGGGCCUUCUCUUAGCCAUUUCCUAAAGGGUUCCCUUUUUAGGUGCAAUGGAAAUUUCGCAUUAAUUAAUUUAAAAUUACACAAUACGGAGUAUCUAAAAUUAACAUUUACAGUUUCAUCAAUUUUUUAUGUACAACCGGUAAACAUGGUAUAUAAUUAAGAAUGGAGAAUUUAGUGCAUUGAUCGAAGAACUCUAUUCUUUGCUUUUCUAAAAAGAAUACAAAUACGUACAAAACAUGUGUUAGGUACGUUGAAUAGCUGGAGAUAUGAGAAUUUGACCUUGUAUCUUGCUUGGGAAAUUCCUACAAAUUGAGCUCAAAGGCUCUUGUCUAGUUACCAUAGAAGAGUAUGUUUGACUACAUACGAGUCAACUGCAGUAUAUGAAUUUGUCCUUAAACAAAUUGGAAAUAGGUCCCGAGAUCCUUUGAUGGACAAUGCUAAGUUGAGGAGUGCCUAAGUUGGACAAACUAAGCAAUGGAACAUAUACAAGCAACACAAUCAAUGUCAGACACUACUGUGAAGAAUCAAUCAUUUUACAAGAAUCGGAACCUGAGUUCCUAAGGUGGUUCCUCGUAUAUCAUGAGGAACUUCGAUGUUCCACAGAAGGAACAAUGCGUGAAGUCUUCGAGUGAAACUUCUAAGAGAUGCAGCGUGAAAGCUACACCAUAUGCGUUUAUAUUUAGGUUUUAUUUAGAAGCAGUAACUGUUGGUGGAAGUUGAGGGAAACAUGAGAACUAACCAACGGAAGCUCAUCUAUAAAAGGACAAGAAAUUUCAUUUCUCAAAUCACAAUUGACAACACAUCAAUACCUAGUAUUUAAAAAACCAAAUCACUCAUGACAUGAUGACAUUUGGCAUCUCAUCCCUGUGUUCCUCUUUUUAUUUUUAAAAUCCACUUAUGACACGUGGCA